rnacentral:lncRNA from 1 species
UACUUUUAAACCAUCUUUUAUUAACUUUAUCUCUCAAACACAACUAAUUCUUUUAUAAACAGCUCCUCCAAUCCAUUUGAACAGUCCAGAUACAAAUGAAAGAACACAGGGAGGAAAACAGAAACUUACAGUUUAUACACCAUCAAUCACAAAAGCACUCAGUGUGGAGGAAGGUCAAGGCCAAGCAGACGUCAGUCAAACAGAUUAACUUCAAACUCUGAGCAGGAACCUUGGGAAACAAGUGUCUUACACAAACUCUCAUCAAAAUAACAGUUCAACUACUGGAGCAUGAUAUGUACCUAGUACAAAAUUAAAUAAGCAUCAAAUCAAGUACAAAUUGGCAUCAGGACGUAAUAUGACUACACAAAUAUAUUCAUAAAUAGAACAAACAUGGAAAAACCUCAAUAAUAUGAAAAUAAAAACACAUAAAUGAGAUUACUUAGCAUAUGCAGGGCUGUAACAGAGAUCCUCAAUUCACCUUUUCAACCACACAAAAACCAUUCACUUUUCACAUUGAACCACUAGGGGGCAGCACAAGCAGCAACACUUUUUAACAAAAAGAGAGAAACAGAAAGGAGAUGGUGAACACGGACCCACUGCCUGGUUUAUCCUACAGCAGCAGAGAGUAACACUGAUUAUCAGGAAACAUGAAGUACACCUUCAACGAAUGCUCACCGACACAGACCUCAGUGCGCUUCAGGGUUGAAAACGAGACUUAAGGUUUAAUGUUUAAAAUCUUAAGGUGAAGCAACUGAAGCCAAAAAGACAUCUUUACUGUCACACAACAGCUGAUCCUCUUAUUUAUGCUGGGAAGCUCAAAUAUGCAGAUUUUAAGGUUUCCAAAGAACCUGACAACAUUUCAUUUGUUUAUACUAUGAGAGCUUCACUUUCUGGAUGUUACAUAACAGAAAGAAAAAAGAAAAAAAAAAUAGCUGCUUUGUGAUUUUAAUGAAAACUGCAGAGUGUCCAAGAUAAACCAGGCCAGUGCUGCUUCCUGCAGAAAAAAAAUUACUAAACUUUAUACAAAUCAAAACUGAGAUUGGCUUUCAAAAAAAAAAAAAAAAAUGCAGCCAGUGCACUUUCGGCAUGUCACCACAAACAAACCCUACAGAAACAUGGGGCCUGUUCUACGAAGCAGGAUUACUGCUUAGCGAGGUAACUUCGAGGGUAAGUUCGGGGUUUCAUGUUGUACGACGCGGGUUCAUAUCUUAGCGAGGUGAGUCUCCAUAGCAACGUACACUGAACGGCUAACCUGCUCUGUGGCAGGUUAGGUUCCAGAUUGAACUCACAGAGUAUAAAAACCCCGCCCACUGACCAAUGAGCUCUCUCGAAAAACGGCUUGUCUGUUCUUGGAGGAUCCUAUAGACCUCAGUGCUUGCAUUGUCCGAGGGGCACUCUGGUGCGCGCGUGGAUUUUCACGUACUUUUCCGGAUGACCACCUUUGUGAAACACUCAUACGGCCUACAUAUCACACAAAAAAUGUAAACACGAUAGGAAUGAACAAAUGAAUGAAUUCAUCUUGGAAAUGAAUUAGACAUGUCUGGUGCAUGUUAAAAGCGCAUGUUGAACAGUGCUAUUUCAGGGUGAUAAUGGCAUCAAAGAUUUUUUGCGCACUAUGUUUAGGCAUUGAGACUGUCUGAAAUUUUCUGCCAGCAUUCCUUCCGUGCUUUUGCAGCGGCGACGGUGUUGCUUUUGAGGUUUAUGAUAGAUUUGAAUUCUCCAUACUUUCUCAUGAUCGUCUCCUGCUCCUCGUUUGUAAAGUACGCGGUCCUUCGCUCUCCGGCCUGCUCUGACGCUCCAGACUGGUCCAUGUUCGCGAUUGGUCAGAUGCGGUGGGCUCCGCCUUACAUGCGUGCACGCGCUCAUAGCAAAGCUGGAUCCACUUACGAGGUUGAUAACCAGCGUCGUAAGACCGUUUAGUGCAGGGGUCGGCAACCUUAAACACUCAAAGAGCCACUUGGACCAGUUUCCCACAGAAAAGAAAACACAUGGAGCCGCAAAACCUCUUCGACAUCUAAAAUGAAGAUAACAUUGCAUAUAUCUUUUUUUUUUUACCUUUAUACAAAGUAUAUAAAAAACUGUAGCGAGUUGCAUUUAUGAAAUAAAUGAACUAUUUCGGCGAGUGUCUGUCUUCUUCUGUAGUUAAACCGCAAGAUAUCAAAAUCUACCCGGAUACAGCAAUGCUGCUUUUUGAUUGGCUGUUCAGUAGAUCUACUUUAUUUGAUUGGCUUGUGCGUGGCACGCAGCUUCUGAACUCUCGGAGGAACUCAGUUGAUUUCCCCCAGUUCAAUAGUUGAAGAAGUGCAACUUGGUGGACAUCACCGUGUUCAUUUAAAUGCGUGAGAAAUACAAUGUGUGGUGUGUGAGCGUGUGAACGAGUGGGAAUGCGUGUGUCAUACGCUGAAUGCGUGAGACUUGAGAGCCCUGUGCUCACGCAUCAUCGAUGUACUCCCGAGCCAUGCAAAACGGUCUUUGCAAAUGUUGCACUGAACGCCUUCCUUUUCAGUCUUGGUGAAGUUUUCCCACACCACUGAUGUUUUAGGUCGGGAUUUGGGUUGGGUUGUGUCCAUGGUUUUCUCAGCCACUGCCUCGGCCAUGGCUGUUUCUUUUCUGUGCGUCCUGCUGAUGUUUACACGCCGGUGUCCAUGGACAUAUAUAAAGACCCGAUGAAUCGAUUACAGAAUUUAUUGGCAACGGAUUUUUUCGUCACGACGAAUCUACUUAAUCGAUUCGUUGUUGCAGCCUUAAUAGUUUAUUUAAUGUUACAAGAGCAUUAUAAUCUUUGAAUUUAGAAUUACAAAAAAAAAAUUUAUUAUUUAUUUUCCAAAUCCAUUGGGAGCCGCAGCUUAGGGAAGAAAGAGCCGCAUGCGGCUCCAGAGCCGCGGGUUGCUGACCCCUGGUUUAGUGAGACCGCUGGCUACCACGCUAAGUUGAGCUAGGUCGAAUUUGCUUUGUAGAAUAGGCCCAUGGUCAGACAAACACUCAAACAGAAGGAGGAAAUCAAAGUACACAUGAAGUCUAGCUUACUCAUCAACAGUGUUGCAGGUCAAGUCUGACAUCUCCAUACAAAGGGUGCCGACUAAUGGAACCAGCCAGAGUAGAGUUUCUUUGUAGCUAGCCAACCAGCGGCUAACCGUUUAGCUUCAGAGAAAAGAACUAGCCAGGGGACAUCAGGCCCAGCGUGGGCUCCCUGUGCUUUUAUUUUGAAGGUUUGUGUGUUUAAAAAAAGCUUACAAAGUCAUACAAAGAGGUGAAAAACAGCUGUUCUGAAAUACACAGCACAAAGAGUAGGAGGGGUCGGGGAAAGUAGAGACUGAUAGAAAUCUGAAGCGGGAAGGUCAGAGAACAUCCUCGCCAGGACAUGUACAGAUUGUCAUUUUUCCCCC